UGGUCCCUCUAAGCAACCUCACACGGCC
rnacentral:piRNA from 1 species